CAACCCUAGGUCAGGCGAGAGC
rnacentral:rRNA from 1 species